rnacentral:rRNA from 1 species
GACGAACGCUGGCGGCGUGCUUAACACAUGCAAGUCGAACGGAAAGGCCCUGCUUUUGUGGGGUGCUCGAGUGGCGAACGGGUGAGUAACACGUGAGUAACCUGCCCUUGACUUUGGGAUAACUUCAGGAAACUGGGGCUAAUACCGGAUAGGAGCUCCUGCUGCAUGGUGGGGGUUGGAAAGUUUCGGCGGUUGGGGAUGGACUCGCGGCUUAUCAGCUUGUUGGUGGGGUAGUGGCUUACCAAGGCUUUGACGGGUAGCCGGCCUGAGAGGGUGACCGGCCACAUUGGGACUGAGAGACGGCCCAGACUCCUACGGGAGGCAGCAGUGGGGGAUAUUGCACAAUGGGCGGAAGCCUGAUGCAGCAACGCCGCGUGCGGGAUGACGGCCUUCGGGUUGUAAACCGCUUUCGCCUGUGACGAAGCGUGAGUGACGGUAAUGGGUAAAGAAGCACCGGCUAACUACGUG